rnacentral:rRNA from 1 species
UACGUAGGGUGCAAGCGUUGUCCGGAUUUAUUGGGCGUAAAGAGCUCGUAGGCGGUUUGUCGCGUCUGCUGUGAAAACCCGAGGCUCAACCUCGGGCCUGCAGUGGGUACGGGCAGACUAGAGUGCGGUAGGGGAGAUUGGAAUUCCUGGUGUAGCGGUGGAAUGUGCAGAUAUCAGGAGGAACACCAAUGGCGAAGGCAGAUCUCUGGGCCGUAACUGACGCUGAGGAGCGAAAGCAUGGGGAGCGAACAGG